rnacentral:rRNA from 1 species
UACGGAGGAUGCAAGCGUUAUCCGGAAUGAUUGGGCGUAAAGGGUCCGCAGGUGGCAGUGUAAGUCUGCUGUCAAAGAAUGAGGCUUAACCUCAUCAAGGCAGUGGAAACUACACAGCUAGAGUACGGUCGGGGUAGAAGGAAUUCCUGGUGUAGCGGUGAAAUGCGUAGAGAUCAGGAAGAACACCGGUGGCGAAAGCGUUCUGCUAGACCUGUACUGACACUGAGGGACGAAAGCGUAGGGGAGCGAAUGGG